rnacentral:lncRNA from 1 species
ACCUCUGUUUUGAUUCUUCUGUGAGAAUUCUUGCUCAGGUGUGACUGGUCUUUUGCAGGAGCCCCUGUGACAGAUGGAGGCAGACAAGAAAUGAUCACAAGCUGAAUAUGCAUCGCUCUUCUUAACUCUGGCAGGAGCUUCACCACAAAUCCAUCACCACACUGCUGCAUAUGCAGCGAGCUGGACAAGGCCCUGGCUGUAGCUGAUCUGUAUGUACUCCAGCCAUGAGAUUAUCUUCGAUGCUCAGAGACAGAAGGUAGUAGCUGCAAUCAAUUCAGAGAAGGAAAAAGAAGGCAAGAAUAAGGAAGAGAGACAGCUGGAAACAGCAAUGGCAAUUAACUGGCAUCCCAUCUGCUGCCUUUUUGCACACUGGACAAAAGCAGAAUGGCUUCCCAGGUAACUCUGUUCUCCUCCUGUGCAUCUUAUUAGCCCUUCUGGGCUGCCACAAACUUCUAGCAAGAAUGGGAAGACAAGUAAAUGAGCCUCCACAGAGAAAAUGGUAAGUGGGAAUAUUUAUACAGUUGUUCAUGUUGGGAGAUCAUUGGGUUAACAGGAAGUGACUGGAAAAAGUGGAGACUGGUGAAGGAGAUAAUGAAGAGAAGAGGAAAAACUGUCUGAGGAAUGACUUUUUAGAGUCUGCCUAUCUUUCUCCUGAAUCUUUAUCCUCCACACAGGAAGAAGGUAAAGUAUUAAGUCCGUAUGAGAUGUUAAACUCAGAGUUGUUG